rnacentral:lncRNA from 1 species
CAUGCGAAAGGGAGAGGAUGAUGAGGCCUUGGGUUGAGAACCGAUGUGAGCAGCAGCACGGCGUGCCGAACCGGAGAAUGAGCGGAAAGCAGACCGAGCACCAAUUGAGGCCAUUGAUUAUGAGAAGAAAUGGUAGAUUCAGAAGGUUGUUCUUCUUGGUUUCGGAAUAUGAACAAGAGGGAAUUGACUCUUGCUUCAUGGCUGGCUUGCUGAGGGUUAAAGCUAAAACCCUACUUUGGGUCUGAGGGGUUUCUACGAUAGUUGGGGUGAUUUCGAAAUAUCUUUUCAAUAAGGGCUAUUUCGAAAUGAUUAUAAAACUCAUGCCUUUCUUUUAUUUUAAUAAUGGAUAAAUUAGUUUAGUUUGAUUUUGUUUACUUUUUCAUAUAUUUUUUUUUCUCGAGGGCGUGUUUGUAGAGAUGCCCGUUUCACUAGUACCUUCCAAGUAGGCAUUAACUCCCAUUACACCCCAAGCCAUGUGACAACCAACAACCCUGGUGAUAAUUUCAUGUCAUUGGGCAAAUUAUAGAGUUCAUCGAUGGUCACCUCGUUGAAGUAGACCCUUUCCUCUGUCUCUCUUCUUCUUCUUUCUUUUCCUUCCCCACCUUUAGAAAAGCCACAAGACCCUCCUUAUCUUCAUCAUCAACUUGUAAUUCAAAUGAAUUCGUGGAUGCCUAAACCUCUAACGCCUCAUCCACCGGCACUUCCCCUUUUCCAUGUUUUAAAUGUCUAUAGCUCGGGGUGGGCUGAUUCAUCACUUCGUCUCCCACUUAUCGUGUUCUUACGUGAUCCAAAUCACUUAAGUCUCCAAAUAUUUCUUCGUCCUCCCUCCUCCUCAAUUCGCUUGCAAAUGCAAUUGGAAGUUGGGUUUGUCCCAAUGGACACUGUCUUAGGCAUAUCAAAACGCACAGUAAAAAGGUUUUCAAUAUGUUUGGGCUUAGUGAAUUUUUUUCUCGUAGAGCCCUCAAGUUUGGUGCUCUACAAGGAAGAUUGGUUGGAUUUCUUAAAAGAGGGGACAAGGGCGGUGAAUGGUUGUUUCUGGGUAGCGGUGGAUGAGGAUUCCUCCUUUCUUUUAAGGAAUUUGGAUGUCUUGGCGAGUUCAAGGGUGGAUUUCUGUUGGCUGGUCAUUAUGAGUAAGGUUGAUGGGAUGAGUUUUCUGGCGAGAAUGAUGAAUUUUCUGGUGAGAGCAAGAACGCACAGAGAGUUCUAAGAAACCCUGAAAGUCGAGAAUGCAAAUGACGCAAACCGAAGGUUUUAUUCACUGUUUAUAAGCAAAAUACAUUGGGGUAGAUCAUCAUUAGCGUUCAGGGGCAUUAAAUGAGAUCUGACAACCCUGGUGGCGCAUGUGAGACCCAUUUCUAAUUUGGGUAAGGAAGUAAAAUUCGGCUAAGUAUUAAGAAGUUGGCGUUUGAACAAAUUCACAAAAAGAAUUUAGUAACAAAAUCUUUUAUGGUUAAAGUAUAUGUUUUUGCGAUUAAGUGGAUAGUUCGUGGAAGAAGUUGUGCGAUAAGAAGAGAAAAAAUCUUUGCGUAAGUUAAGAAGUAAAAGUUGGUUAGUUCACGUGGAAGGUUUCUUAUAGUAAAAAUAUAACUACGCGAUAAGGUUAUUCACGAGAAAUGAUUAAGUGGUUGAAGUUAUUCACUGUUUGGGUUAGGCGAGAAGCAAGGUCUGGCGAUGAAAAUGUCAAAUCUAAUUUUACAGGGGUUAACGUAUAAGAUUAAGGAUUUAAGCAUGGCUGGGUUGAAUAUUAAAUUUACACGUGCGGAGGUUUAAGCAAGAGCUGGCGAAUUGAGAAGACUUUAUGCAUGACUAAGUUAGUUUAAGGGCUCUAUAAAUAAGAUGAUUUGGGUAACUAAGGAGAGAAUGAUGAGAGUUUUGUUGAAAUGUUAAAGAGCUAGUGGUUUAGUCACGCGAGAAAAUGCUUGCAAGAAGAAGAAGAAGGGCUUCUUUAGUAAAGUUUGGAGAGUGACUUUCUUAAAUGUUUUUAUGUUAAAAUCUUUCUUGUGAUUUCCCUUUACUAUUUUGAAAAAUGAUUUCAACGAGAAAGUGUUUCAAAAAAAGAUUUCUAUAAAAAGUUUAUAUGUGUUCAAGCAUGAUUUAUAAUGUUAAAGCUUGAUUUGAUGAUUGCAAUUUCAAUACUAUGAAAUAUGGUUUUCAAAUCAUUAGUUGAUUCCUUGAGAUGAUGUUAACUUUUAUGUGCACAUACAUAGUCAAGGUCACCAUGGGAUGUACGGACUACAUGGUGAUAGGAAGUUGACUUAUGGGUUGAAAGAAGUGUAUAAAGCUUAGCAACCUAAGCAACAAGGAUGAAUCGGAUGUUGUUGUUACAGUAGCCAAAUGCAAGGUAAUGAAACCGAGCGUAGAGAACGAUUCGAGAUCCUUGGUGAAAGGAAUGACUGUUAGCUAAUGUGUACAUGUGAAAUUGUUAUGUUAUAAAUGUAUUUCUUAAGCACAAAAAAAGGUUUAUGCGAAAUGAAAUGAUUAGAUGUUGUUUAUGUGAAAUGAUUAUGAAAAGGUAUUGCGAAAAGUUUUCAAAAUCUCACUAAGUAUUUUACACUUACGUUUUAAAAAUCUAUCUUCCAGGAUUGAACGUUUAGGCCAAGUAGAGAAGAAGGUUAAAGGAUUUGCGGUGAGAUGAUUCAAGGCGUUUUGAAAAUGGAUAAGCCUUGGUUAUUUGGUCAAAGUAUUGUAAUAAUGUAUGAAACGUCUCUUAUUAAUAAAGUUUACGUUUUGAUUUGUAUUUACUAUGUUUGGCAUUCCAUUGUCCUCCGUUGCAUUUUGAUUGUUAAUAGUUUAAAAGGAGUUUGAGAAUAAGAUUUUGCCAUAAGAAAAUUUAGGUUGUAACAAACUCGCAUCCUAUUCCUACUACUUCGGUGUUAUCGUCGCAGUACGGUUUGGGGUGUGACAGGGCAUCCUUUUGAAAUCAGGAAUGACGAUUGCAUUAAAUGCACCUCUUCGAUUCCCACUUUGAGGUACAAGUUCCUAGACGUGAGUUUUGAGCAAAAAAACUAUUUUGGUCUUAUGUCGCCUAAAGGUAUCUCACAUGCUCAUUGUCAGGUCACAUUCUAGAACUUAGGCUUUGCUUCUCUUUUUAUCAAUCCUCAGUAUGACACAAAAAUGUUUAAGCUAGAAAACAAUAAAGGAAAGUAGUAAAGCAAGCGAUAAAUGAUGCAAGAAAGAAAAAGAAAACAAUCAAACAAAUAAAUUGAAAAGAAAGAAAAAUAAAGUAUUAAAGCAAUGCACAAAAAUGAUACACUUGUAUUAAAAUGUGUCUAUGAGAAUUAUACAAAUGCAUCAACAAGUCAAGAAAAUUUAAAUAAAGACGUUUUACUUUAAAUCCACAGAGACUUUGAUGCGAUCUUCAUCUUCAUAGUACGCCUUGAGUCUUUGCCUGUUAACCUUGAACACGUUAUUUAUGUUCAGCGACGCAAUCUCCACAGCACCAUGUGGGAAGAUCUCUUUGACCACAAAUGGCCAAGACCAUCAUGAAUGAAGUUUUCCUGAAAACAUACCUAAAUGCAAGAUAAAGAGUAGUACCUUUUACCCUGGGUACAACUCGCAUUUACAGAUGUGGUGGUCAUGUCAUGCCUACGUCUUUUCUUUGUAAAUUUUGGCUUUCUCAUAGGCUUGAGAAGACCACUCUAGAAGCACAUGUAAUUGAAGCAGACUCGCCUCUACUACGGCGUGAUAGUUAAAGUUUAACUUUUUUGCACGCCUAUAAUGCCUUAUGCUCCAACUUAAUUGUUAAGUGACAUGUCUUCCCGAAGACUAAGGUGAUAUUCCAAUUGGUGUCUUUGUUUGGUCCAAUCCUUGUGGGAUAAAUUUACCACUUUCUUCAAUAUGUUCUUAAUUUUCUUGUUGGAUACUUCUAUAAUACAUGUAUCUUCCAUCACAUUUGCUUGCUAGAAAGUUGAGAAGAUAAGCUAAGAGUUUGCCCAAAAGUCUAAGGCUAAGUCAAGGAUCUCAAGAUAGCAUCUCGAGGCAGGUUGAAGUAAAGCAAGUACUAAGAGAGGAAUCUUGGGGGUAGAGGUACUAAGACUCGAUCCUGUACAGUCGAGAAAAAAGGCAGGUAAGAGACAUAAGUAAGAAUCUGGGGCUAGCCUUAAGAAUUUUGGUGAGAUGGAAAACAUAGAGUAAAUCUUGGUGCUAUGGCAGGGGUAUCUUGGUGCUUGUCAACCGAGUCAAAAGAUAGAAAGGCCUUGGAGUUGAAUCUUGGGCCAUCUCAAGGCUGUGGCAGACCGAGAUGAAAAACAAAGAGGUUUGGAGAUAUGCUCUCAGGCCAUCUCGAGGCUGUAGAAACCUAAGAUAGAAAAUAGAAGGUUGUAGAGAUGGAUCUUAGGCCAUCUCAAGGUCAUGUUCGACCGAGACGGAAAGCAUAAAAUGAAUUUAUUAGGGUUCUCGAAUAUGUCUAGCUAGGAAGAGUAAAAAUCUUGGUGGAUCUCAGGCCAAUCUUGGCUGAGAUCACUUAAAGACACAUGGCAGACAAACUUCUAGAAAUUUAUAUCUCAUGAAGGCUAGAGUUUUUCGAACAUAAAAAGCAUUUUAAGUCUAAAAGACCGUCAUUUCUCUCAUUUCUCACCAUUUUCACUUCAAGAGCAAAGUAUAGAGAAGAAGUUGAGAGAAGUUGAGUUCCUUGUAAGAGAGAAGUCAAGGUAAGAGGGUAGUUUGACGUCAAGCUCAGUUGGGUGUUCGAUCAAGAGGCAUUCAAGAAGGCAAGAAUGUUGGCGAGUUUGAGCUAAAGAGGAAAAGUAAAGCUUGAGGUUAGAUCCAAGUAAGUCAAAGUUCUUCUUCCUUGGUUAAGAAGCUUAAGAACAAGUUUUCUAGGUUAGGGCUUGUCAUUUUAGCUUUAAAUCAGUUGAGAAUCGUGUAGAGCUAGGGCAAACUUGAAGAACCGGUCUUGAAGAAUCGGUCUUGAGCAAGCUAAGACUACCCAAAGUGUUCAAAGAAAUCGAGAUUAGUAAGAAAAGAGUUCUCUUGAGAAGAAAAGGAAAAAGAAGUAAGAAGUUGAAGAACUUUCCUUUAGUUGUAACCCAAAGUAAGUUGAUAUUUUCUCAUUAUUUUCAGGGCAAGAAGAAAUAAGGUAAAUCUAUAACCAAGAAUCUAGCCAAAAGCUGUUAGUGAGAAAAAUGAUUUUCAAAUGAAUAUCUAAACUUGAUUAAUUAAGUUAUAUCUAUAACAUGCUUUGAGUUAAAGUAUUUGAAUUAUACUUGAGUUAUAAAUGCAUUACAAACCAUGAGUUUCAAGUUUAGAAAGAGUUUGAUGAGAUUUAUAAAUAAGUAUGCAUGAUUUAAGUUUAAAAGCAUUUGAGUGAACAUGUUUAUUGAACAUGAGAGUUUUUAGGAAAUGAAUUGAUUAUUGAUCGAGCUUAUGAAAAUAUCUAAGUUAAAGAUAACAUUUGAUUGCAUCAGAAUAUAUUAAUUCUUAUGUUUGACAGUAUGAUUAUCUCAGAUUUAAGGAUCAAUUAUUUGAGAUUAUUUAGGACACAUGUCCAUGUAAUAAUCUAAAAAAGGGGUUAGUCCAAUUCUUAAUCUCUAAUAAGAAAAUAUGAUUAUAAUUUAUUUCUCUACAUAUAAUCAUCAUAUGAUUAUCAAUUAUAUCUCAUAUUAAUCUUAAUUUAUUAUUGUUUCCACAACAAAAAUCGAUUAAGAACAUUUAUAAUAUAUUAACAUAUUCAUAGAUAUUAUUAUACAAUAACAUGCAAUUGCAUAAUAAUGAGAAUAAUAACUUUUAUUGAAUAGUUAAAUAAUAAAACAAACCUAUAAAAUUAUUAUAGAGCACAAUAAAAAAACCAACAUUUUUAUCCAUUGUCUCUUUUUCAUACUUUUGCUAUCCAUCUUGUUGAUGUGUUUUAAGUAGUUUAAGUUUAAGUUUUGUACUUAAUAAGGAUUCUUUGGCUAUAAGUCUCGUUGUCUUUAGUUGAGUUUAACUCAAUCGCUUGGCUAGCAUUGAUCGUCAACUGCUCUAGAGAGUAAAUACCAAAGGACAUAGCUAAACACAUACAUGAGGGAGUUUGGAAACAAACUCUAUUCUGGUGUUUUAACUCCAAUUAUUUGUGUCCGAAAAGGAGAACAAGUGUGGUGUUUAAGCGCCAAAAAGUUGCUUGUCUUAAAUAUAAGAUGGUAAAGUGAUCUAUAUUGCUUCAAAGACAUGCCACAUAACUUAUAUUGCCUAGAAUACUAAGGCUUUUCUUCAUCUCUCUUAACGCAAGUUAGUUCACAUUCCAUAAACAUCUCAUUCCAUUUCCCUCUACAAAACUCCUCUGUGUAAAUAAAUAGAUUAGUGUAGUUUUAUACGCAUACUGUAUAGAAUUUAUACUGCCUAGUUGAGAAAUAAGCGUUAUAGCUAAGUUUUGAUAGCAAUUCCUUGUGUUCAACUCUGGCUUACCUAGGAAACCUCUCGCUUUGCUUACACUUGGACAAGCGUGAGGAAAACUUAUACUCAACGUAGAUCAUGAUAAAAUUAGCAACACAUAGAUAGAACAUGCAUCUUUUAUUGCAUAAUCCUAGCCUAGAUCCAUGUAUUAGUUGCAUUAUUAGAACCUUUCAUGAUACAUCCACGAACGAAUUUUGGAUAAUAAAGUAAUAACAAUGCAGAAUUCCAAACGAGCAAGCAAUGUGGCAUUGAAAGGUUGCUUGUCUUAAUUAGUACGUGAACGCAUAAAUCACGUUUAGAGAUACAGGAUUGAAGAAACCUCUUGUCCCGACUUACCACAUACUUGUAAACAAUUAGAUAAAGUUCUAAGUCACCUAAACUACUUCCAUCGCAUUUCAUUUUGCGUAGCAUAACAUAGGUCCAUUCUCCAUCAAUUUCAUUAUUAUUUCCCACCAAGUUCUGAGCAAGAGAGUGACGAUUAAUUCACAAUUCAAUAGCAAUAUUUCCUUGUAUUCGUCUCUGAACUCACUAGGACCUAGUUUAGUUUACACUUGGAUUGGAUUAGGAAAACUCGUACUGCAAGACAUAUUGCCAACUCAUUUUAUCAUAUUCACGCAACGCAUAACUUUACAUCUUCACACCCAACACAACAAUUUGUAUUAGAUUAAUGAUUCAAGGAGGAAUGACGUGAUUCCACCUCUUUGAGUGUCUCCAUACUUUGCAAUCAAUAGUAAAAACUAUUUGUAAAAAAUAAACAUAACUCGAUUCACGUAAUAUUUGUAUUAGUAAUUUUAAAAUAAAAAAUUUGAUUCCCUUCACCUCUGUAUUGUCAAAAGAACGAUCAUUUUAUUUGUCAAUGUUAAGUUCAAAUUUUAUUUGUUUUUUUAUGUUCGUUGCAUGUCUAACUAUUUAUCCAAAUGCAAAUGGAAAUUAUGAAAAGAAACCGAGACAAUCAAGCAAACCAACCAAACCAUACAAUCUACCCGUUGUGUGCUAUAUACAAACCAAUUUGGUUCAAGUUACUCUAGUGCAUUUUGGUUUGCUCUACUAGUUUCAAUUUUACUUCAUAGAUUAUUUAACUAAUUUCAAUAAAAUUUUGGAGCCAUUUAUUUAGCUUCUUCAAUGUUCGUGAAAGGCCAAUUUCAACAUGAUAUUCAUACUCCAUUACAGAAUUAAAACAUGGUUGAUCGAAAACCAAACAAACAAUAUUUGUUACCAUGCUUUAAACUUGGCAAAUGACUAACUAGACGUUCACAUCUACAUUCUGAUUUGGGUUAUACCAAUAAUCCAAUUGAAAGUCAUAGGAAAAUCUAGGCACAACUAUGAUAUCUCUGAUGAAGAAUCUGAAUUUGAGGUACAAACAAGCAAUGGAAAUGGCAAAUUCAACAUUGUUGCAAACCUUCAUGCUAGACAUGCUGAUUGAAUAUCACCGCCCUAGAAAACAAAACAAGACGCAGUCAGACAGCUAGAACUCACAUUGUAAAGACAAGUUUCUCAAUAGACUUGAGGCCUCAACUGAAAAGCAAAGCUGGCUAGCAGUAUAUAUAGGCUAUAAUGAUCAAGGAGGGAGCAGUAGAAAAAAGUGUGCCUUUUGGAUUGAAAAUCUUCUCUUUGAUAUUUUAACCAUGAUGAUUGAAGACACUUGUAUUUCAACCACUCAUCUUAGCACAUAUUUCAAGUCAAUAAUAUCGAAGCAGCUACAAAAUACAAACCCUACUUUCCAGUAACAAGACGAAGUUGUCAACUGCUCAAAGCAAAUUCAAUGAAAAAAUUAGCAUUAUCACAUACAAUUGUUAACAAUCAAUGAGUACGAAAUAGAGAAUAAAUACUAAAAAAUUAAAAUUAAAUCAGUCUUCAAAUAACAAUAAUCCAUUGCCAUUGAUCGGAAGCUCUUCUUCACAAACCACCAUUUGGAGCAUGGAAGCUUCUACUUAAUAGAAGUCACUGCCCGUAUAGAUCCUCUUGGUAAUUUAUCAUAGAUCGUCAUUGCAUGCUGAUGAACACAAGUGACCAGUGUGUCAGUUUGAUAUUUUAAUCGAAACAAGAAACAAUUUGGGAGGUGAUGAGCAUGCUCAUCAAAGAGAUGUGUAGAUUGACAUUUUCCAAGUUUAAACUUAAGAGAUGGAAAUUUAGGACCUAAUUUUGGGUCAUGGAAACUACAAACAUUCAUUCUAUUUGGAAGCAAAGGAUGUUUCAGCGUAUCAUUCAUAAAGAAAACUUCAACUUUUCACUGACCACUUCAAACUUCUUCCCAUGGUACUUAUGACAGAGUAAUAUAUGACUUUGCAACUUCCAUCUUUAUAAAGUAGUGGAAAUGAAAAGAUGACAACAAAUCAACAGACCCAAAUACUUGAUUAACAAAGCAAACUUUGCAAAACAAUAUUUAAACUAUGUAGAAGCCAAAUUUAUUCUACAAGGAUCUAGUAGGCUGUAGUCCAAUAUAGUUGCAGAAUAAAAUUGAAUAUAUAAUCUUUCAACAUGUUAAAAACAAUCAUCUACGAACGAAGUGAACGAAAUAGUGUAUCAUAGUUUAUUAUUUCAUUCCAAAUACAAUCAUCUCAUUUAACCUAUUGAUGGAAUCAUCUCUAGAUGUUUUUCUUUUUUUGCUUUCUUUUCUUUGUCCUGGGGGUGGGCCAAGGGGGGGUGGCAUCGCUAGGACUUAGAAGGGGAAACUCAAAAAACAAAUCAAGUCAUUCCUUCCUGCUUCUCGAUCCUCAUCUAGUCUUGUCUUUGCCUACAUUGAAAAAAGGGGAACGUGCCUUUUCAAUUAACAAUUUGAAUCAGAAAUGGAAGGUUUUUGCAUAAAUGACUCAUUCUAGUACCAUACAUUACAAAAACAUUUAAAACACCCGCGUUCAGCAAGAGGACUUAAACUCUGAUCGACAAAUGGUAAUUGGUGGGUGGAGGAAAGAAAGAAUGAAUCGAUCUUGUUUGUUAAGCUUGUUUGCAUCCUAGUUUGAAGAGUAUCUACUUGAUGUGAUAACCUGUCUAAUAGAGGGAAAUGAUCGAGUUUGUUGUGCAUGCAUGUUAUUAUACAAUUUCGUUCAAUUUUAUCAGUCCUAUACGAGUUUAUAGGCACCAACUCACCAGAGCAACAAGAAGGCAAGAAGAACAUCAAUGGGCCUAUAAAUUGUGCUAGCUACCUAAUUCAAGAGUAAAAAAUCCACUAGUUAGAUAGCCUUCUUGUUUGUACACAAGUUAUCAAAUUGUAUAAUAACUUGAAAAACGGGGAAUGUGCUUUUUCAAUUAACAAUUUAUCACAUCAAGUUAUGUUAAAAGGAGCAGAUCCAAUUCUCCUUUCAAAACAAAAAAUAAAGAAAAUGGUGGAACCGGACCAGGUAUCUCUAUGUUUACAGGUUUUAUAUCGAGUGGAGAAACAAGAAAUAGUCAUUCGUAAGAAAAAAGCUCAAGAAGUGAUCAGAAAACUGACAUAUUUAUACACAUCAGUACUUAAAUUUAGGCAAAAGAAAGCUUUUCAUGGUGUAGCCUCUCAUGAUUCAAACACAUUAACUACCUUAAUUAUAGAAUACAAGCAUAGAUAUUUCAUCCGCCAAAAACAUCAGAUCACUGUGGCUAAUGUGACCCCUAAACCUAAAUAUGGAUAUCACUAUUUCAAAUUACAGUUGAUCAUUAUUCCCACUCAAACUUGAUUUUUCCUGAUUCAAGAAAAUAGUUAUAAAGAUAAAAUUCAUCCAACGAAAAACAAAUGCAAAUAGAAAAUCAGCUUCCAGAAAAUUAUCAACUCUUUCUUGUCAACGGAAGAAUUCAUUCUGAAAUUAUGGAUGUGGUCUAAAUUCUUUCUUGGCUCAUAACAGAUCAAGAAAGUAAAGAAUUAAAUUAUCAGUUAUGCACCUUCGGGGAGCCAACCACAGCUGUGGCGUGAGAUAGAGAGCAUUGAAGUCAUCAAAGCUGAGGACGACACAGAGUGAAAUGGCAUCAUUGACUCCAAACAGAAGCUCAUCUCAGGCGCACACCUUCAAGCAAAAUAGAUUACCUUAUUUUACUGAAACGUUUCACAACUAAAACACUGAAGAGAGAAAUAAAGAUGAAGAUUGAACACUGUUUUCGUUGUUCUACUUCUGGGGAGAACAAAAGAAAAAAACUGAAAGAGCUCUAGAUUCAGAAACUUUUCGCACUUAAAACGGAUGCAAAAGCAUUAAGAAACGAACCUGAAAGUACGAUGAGAGAGGGGUUUGUUAGUUGCCAUGCGAAAGGGAGAGGAUGAUGAGGCCUUGGGUUGAGAACCGAUGUGAGCAGCAGCACGGCGUGCCGAACCGGAGAAUGAGCGGAAAGCAGACCGAGCACCAAUUGAGGCCAUUGAUUAUGAGAAGAAAUGGUAGAUUCAGAAGGUUGUUCUUCUUGGUUUCGGAAUAUGAACAAGAGAGAACUGCCUCUUGCCUGGCUGCUGAGGGCUAAAGCUAAAACCCUACUUUGGGUCCUGAGGGGUUACUACUAUACUUGCGUAAUUUCCAAAUAUCUUUUGAAAAAAAUGGCACUUUCUAAUUAAAUAAUAUGUAUUCUAACUAUUCAUUUAUAAAAUAAUCUAUUUUACACAAAUCUUUAAACGAAAAUUAUAAACAUUUAUAAAAAGUCUAAUCAAAUCUAAAUUUUAAACUUAUUUUCACGAAAAGGUUUAAAAGAAAAUGUAUUACUCAAAAAUAUUUUGUUUUUAAUUCAAUUAAUAAUAUUUUUAUUCCUUUGUUUUAUUUAAAUAAUGUAAUUACGAUUUUGAUUUUUUUUAAUUAUAGUUUUAAUUUAACUUUCACAAUACAUUUUUAUAUUAACUUUUAUAAUAAGUAAAAAAUAAAUAGUAAAUUUAGAGAUUUCAUAAUAUAUUAUCUCAAAAUUUAUAUUUUAUUUUAAUUAUAAUUUAAAAUAAAAUUAUACUUUUUUUAAUGUAAGUGUGAAAUUAUAUAUUUCAACCCAUGCACAAUUACUCUAAAAGCAAAUGAUUCAAUAAAAUAAAUAUUAUAAUUAUAUUAAUUUUGUUAAAAAUGUCAUUCGAUAUUAUCAUUAAUGAGUACUUGAACAAAUAUCUAAUCAUAUUUUGUAAAUAUUCAAAAGUUCUCUACAUUUGUCAAAAGUUAAUUUAAAUUUUAAUCCUACCUUAUGAAUAUUUUUUUUAUAUAUUUUUACUAAAGAAAAUAUGCACAAGGCUUUGAAACUGCAUUUUUUUAAUUUGCAUUUAUAACGAGUUGUAGCUUGAGGUCCUAAAGGAAAAUAAUUAUUUGCAUGACCACGUAUUUUAUAAAUAAUACUCAUGUAUUAUAAAGAAACAAUAUUAUAUACAUAUAUGUUUAUAUUUUUAAACAUCAAAGUCCCUAGAUCUCACACAUUUUCUAUCUCCACCGUGCAACCAUUAUCCUUCUUUAGAUUACUCAUGAUUUUCUUCUUGUUUAAUUCAAUUGAUCACAUUUAGUUGUCAUAUCUGUUGCAUUAAGAAAAAUACAUCAUCUCGUUCACUAACAACAAUUAUUACUCUUGCAACAAAAUUAAAAGUACUAUGCAAUAAAAAUCUUUGAUUCCCUCAAAAAAAUGAUAAAGACCAUUUUAUUUGUCAACAUUACCAAGUUCAAAUUUUAUUUAUAUCUUAGUAACUAUCGUACACAAAUUUAAAGUACAAUUUCUAAAAUCUCAAAGAAUUGCACCACAUUAUUCAUCACAUGUCUAGAUCUCUCUCAACCCACUUUAAUCGAACUUUUUUUCCUAUUAAGAAAAGACACGAAGAAAACCAAGCAAAUCAUACCAUCUAUCCAUUGUAUAACAAAAUAUAUAUGAACCAAUUUGGGUUAAGUUAAUUUAGUGCAUUUUAAUUUCCACUAAUAAUUUCACAUUGACUUUAUAGAUUAUUUGACUAAUUUUUUUUAAAAAAAUUGAGUUAAUUUAGGGCAUUUUGGUUUGCACUAGUAGUUUCACUCUAACUUUAUAGAUAUUUUACUAUUUUCGAUAAAAUUUUCGAGCAAUUUGUUUAGUUUGUUCAAUGUUGGUGAAGGCCAAUUUCAACAUGAAACUUCCUACUCCUUUACAAAAUUAGAACAUGAUUUGAGCGAAAACCAAACAAACAAUAUCUGUUCUCAUGCUUUAAACUUGGCAAAUCACUAACAAAACGUUCUCACAUCUAGAUUCUGAUUUUGGUUAUUAUACCAAUAAUCCAAUUGAAAGCCAUGAAAGAGUUUCAGAUAAUCCAAGGCAAAACUAGUAUGUUUCUAAUGAAGAAUCUGAAUUUGAGGUACAAAUAAGCAAUGACUGACAAAUUCAACAUAGUUGUAACCCUUCAUGCUAGAAAACAAAACAAAACAAGAGGCAGUCGGACAGCAAGAACUCAACAUUGUAAAGACAAGUUUCCUAAUGGACUUGAGGCCUCAACUGAAAAACAAAGUUGGCUAGCAGUAUAUAUAGACUACAAUGAUCAAUGAGGGAGCAAUAGAAAAACCUGUGCUUUCUGGUUUGAAAAUCUUCACUUUGAUAUUUUAACUAAGUUUAAAGACACUAGUAUUCAACCACGCAUCACUAGCACAUAUUUCAAGUCACUGAUAUCGAAGCUGAUACAAAAUACAAACCCAUUUUUCCAGUAAGAAGACGAAGUUGUCAAUUGCUCAAUGAAAUAUUCAACGAAAAAAUUAACAUGAUCACAUACAAUUGUUAACAAUAAAAGGGUCCGAAAUAGAGAAUCAACACUAAAAAUUAAAAUUAAAUCAGUCUUCAAAUAACAAUAAUCCAUAGCCAUUCAUCGGAAGCUCUUCUUCACAAACCACCAUUUGGAGCAUGGAAGCUUCUACUUAAUAGACGUCACCAUCAGUAUAGUUCUUCUUGUCACUUAUCAUCAUUGCAUGCUGAUGAACACAAGUGACCAGUGUGUUACUAAUGACAGUUUGAUAUUUUAAUCAAAACAAGAAAUAAUUUGGUAGCUGAUGAGCAUGCUCAUCAAAGAGAUGUGUAGACUGACAUUUUCCAAGUUUGAACUUGAAAAAAUGGAAAUUUAGGACCGAACUUUGGGUCAUGGAAACUACAAAACAUUCAUUCUAGUUGGAAGCAAAGGAUGUUUCAGUGUAUCAUUCUGUUAGAUCCCCAGUCCUUCAUACAUAUAAAAGAAAGGGUAAAAAGGGGAAACUCACGAAAUAGCCAAGGGAAAGCUGAGAGAGGGAAAGAAACACCUAUUAGCCCACUAGAGACAUGGAUAUAAAUAAGGAAUAUUUUGGGUAUGAAAACUAGGUCUGGAUUUCGGUGAAAGCUGCUAUAGGCUUUUAGGAGAAGUUGCCGGCCAUUCUCGAAGGAGCUGGAUUUUUCUUUUACUAUUCCUAUCAUUUGGGUUACCUAUAUUACUUGUUAUUUUUUAUUCUUGUUUGUCUAUGAAUCUUGUAUCAUUUUAUUAAUAUACUACUACAGAGUAUUGUCUCUAUUUAGUCCUUUUGUUGAGAUCUUUCUUAAUUUCAGGUUUAGAAUCUUUACACAUUCGUAAAGAAGACUUCAACUUUCCACGGACUACUUCAAACUUCUUUCCAUGCUACUUAUGGACAGAAAUAUAUGAAUUUGUAACUUCCAUCUUUAUGAAGUUGUGCAAAUGAAAAGAUAACAACAAAACAACAGAACCCAAAUACUUGAUUAACAAAGUAAAUUUUGCAAAACAAUAUUUAAACUAUGUAGAAGUCAAAUUUAUUCUACAACGAUCUAGUAGGCUGUAGUCUGAUAUAGUUGCAGAAUAAAAUUGAAUAUAUAAUCUUUCAACAUGUUAAAAACAAUCAUCUACAAACGAAGUGAACGAAAUAGAGUAUCAUAGUUUAUUAUUCCAUUCCAAAUACAAUCAUCUCAUUUAACCUAUUGAUGGAACCCUCUCGAGAUGUUUUCUUUUUCUUUCUUUACUUUGUCUUGGGGGUGGACCAAGGGGGGUAAGGUAGCAUCGCUAGGGCUUAAAAGUGGAAACUCAAGAAACAAUACAAGUCAUUUCUUCCUGCUUCUCGAUCUUCAUCUAGUCUUGUCUUUGCCUACAUUGAAAACAGGGGAAUGUGCUUUUUUAAUUUACAAUUUGAAUCAGAAAUGGAAGGCUUUUGCAUAAAUGACUCAUUCUAGUAAUAGAACAAAAAGAUUUAAAACAUCCGAGUUCAGCAAAAGGACUUGAACUCUGAUCGACAAAUGGUAAUGAGAGGUGGAGGAAAGAGAAUGAAUCAAUCUUGUCUGUUAAGCUUGUUUGCAUCCUAGUUUGAAGAGUAUAAGCUUGAUGUAAUAACUUGUCCAAUAGUGGGGAAAUGACUGAGUUUGUUGUGCACACAUGUUAUUAUACAAUUUCGUUCAAUUUUAUCAUUUCUAUAUGAGUUUACAGGCACCAACUCACCAGAGCAACAAGAAGGCAAGAAGCAUCAAUGGGCCUAUAAAGUGUGCUAGCUACCUAAUUCAAGAGUAAAAAAUCCACUAGUUAGACAGCCUAGAAGCAGAUCCACUUCUCCUUUCAAAACAAAAAAAAUAAAGAAACUUAUGGAACCGGAUCAGGUAUCUCUAUGUUUACAAGUUUUAUAUCGAGUGGAGAAACAAGAAAUAGUCAUUCAUAAGAAUAAAGCUUGAGAAAUGUGUUAAGAUUCUCAACCUGAAACACAGAAAAAUUCCAACAAUGGCAAGACAGACCAACUAUGAUCACGUGAUGAACAGAAAGUAAAUGCACGAAAGCAAUAAGAAAUUAUAAACCCAGCUCCUUCGAGAAGGCUGGAAACCUCUCCUAAAAAGCCUACAGCAGCUUUCUUUUAUAAGUGUGGAGGAUUGGGGGUUAGCUGCUCGGCUUGAAUUGCACCUUGUCCUCAAGGUGGAAGGAGGUAAAUUGUUGAUUCAUUAAGUAUAUUGAUUCCUAGGUGGCUUCACUAUCCGGCAGUCCCUUCCAUUUUACCAACCAUUCGUUUGCUACAAUCUCCUCAUUCCAUCUUACCUCCAUUACUGAUUUCGGCCUCAACUGCAACUCGAACUCUUCGACCAACAUUGGGAGAAUAUGCUGGACCCAUUGAGUUUGUCCUAACUUUAGUUUCAGUUGUCACAUAAAGAACAUUAUGGAUGGUUGCCUCCGAGGGUAACUCAAGGUGAUAGGCCACUUCUCCUAUCCUCUCCAUAAUUUGGUAGGGCCCAGAGAACUUCGGUGAGAGUUUCUCACUUCCUCUUUUUUGCUAAGGAUCAUUGCUGGUAUGGUCUCAACUUCAGAUACACCUCCUCUCCCACUUGGAAGUUCAACUCUCUCCAGCGUAGGUCAGCUUGUUUUUUCAUCCGAUUCUGGGCAAUUACUAGGUUCUCCUUCAAGGCAUUAAUUAUCAUAUACCUCUCUUUCAAUUGCUGAUCAGCACAGUUAUUGGUUGUCUUCCUUUCACAGUAUGAAAUAAGGGGAGGUGAGGGCCUACCAUACACUACUUGAUUUAUCGUCCCAUUUUUCACAUUCUGGGUUUGGGCCUUAGAUGCCUCCGGCCCACGACCACCCCAUUCACUUAGGGCCAACUUAAUUGCUAAAUCCCUAUAACUCAUCAAUUGGGCUUCUCGCAUACAAUCUUCCAAGGUGACUGGAUGGCGACUCUUCACUUUGACUUGAAGAGUGGUCUCCAACCCUGUGAAGAACACAUCAAUCAGAACACUCUCCGGCCUCUGCCAUCUCCGGCAAGGGCGCGGAAUAGUUCAGAAACUUGCUUAAUCGGUAUGAGACAGGCACCCAAACUAUCUUCACCAGGAGCCUUAAAGUGUUUGAACAUCCUCCUCUUGAGAUCUUCCCACAACGUAAUCUUCUUUUGAGUGUUAGUCGAACGAAACCAAUCAACCUCGUCUUAUGCAAAGCUGACGACUGCUACCUUCACCUUCUCCUCGUCAGCCAACUCAUUGAUGUCAAAAUAGUGUUUGGCCCUAUAGACCCAUGAUUCCGGGUUUACGCCAAUGAAAACAAGUAUCUCCAACUUCUUAUAUUUACUUCUAUCCAAUGGACCUCCGGUGAGAACCGAAGUCGUGUCUGUUUCUUUGACCUUUUGUUUCAUUUUUAGUCCAGACCCAUCUGAGGCACGAGAUUCUUCCCUAUGUUUAGUAAGGCUGCUCUCCUUCACUUUUUCUGUCAGUUUCUCUAUACUCUUAUGCAGACCAGGCAUCACUUCCUUCAAUCCCAAAAUCUCUUUCUCACUCGUUUCAUAUCUCUCCUCCCACAGUUUCUAUGUCAUUGCUCGUGUCUUCCCCAGGAUGUUUGUGGCUUUGAUACCAAUUUGUUAGGACUCUUCCCCUGCACAUAGAAAAUCCCAACAACAAUACAAAAACAGAGAUGAUACUCUGUAGAUAUUUAUAUAUAUCUAUCAAUCAGAAAGUGCUCACAAUGAUAAUCGAGAACAAAAGAGAACAAGAACAACAAGAUAAGAAAAAUGAAAAUGAUAGUAAAGGACUCCCAGCAAUUCGAAAAGUUGGCUGUCUCCCUAAAAGCUCUCACAACAGUUUUUCCAAAAAUAAAACCUACUUCAUCAAUCCCUAAAAGCAUUGCUUAAGUAACUCCAUUUCCUUGAUGGGACCCUCCAGGAUAUUCGUUUCAUUUAUUUCUAUUGGUUGUGUUGUCUUCUUGAACAUUCUCUUUUUUACCCUUGCAUUUGUAGUUAUGUAUGAUAGAAGGUCUAACACAUUGACCAAUUGGGCUUCCUUCAUACACUCUCAUCCAAGUUCUUCAGUUGACGACUUACCAUUUCCAACUACAAAUCAGGCUCCACCCCCGUCAAAAAAGCAUCCAUUAGAAGUAGAACCCUUUCCGCCAUAUCUGGUAGGGGUGUAGAAUAGUUCAGAAAUUUUUUUAAUUUGUACACGUGUUGUCUAGCAUGAUUUUGAUUAACCGAGCCCCAAGGCUCCCUUCGUCAGUAGGUUGAAACUGAUCAAAGAUUCUCUGUUUCAAAUCUUCCUAUGAUGUUACCUUUUUCCGAUUGUUACUCCAGCGAAACCAAUUUACUUCAUCUCAAGUGAAGCUAACCACCUCUACCUUGACCUUCUCGUUAUCCACUAAGUCAUUUAUCUCAAAAAUAAAAAUGUUCAGCCCUGUAUACCCACGAUUCUGGAUUCACACCAGUGAAGAUCGACAUUUCUAACUUCUUACACUUGCUCACCCGUUCCAUGUUCAGCUGUCAAACCAACUUCCAUCACCUAAAUUUCUCCUUUCAUUUUGAGCACUGAAGCAUCGGACGUCCCUGAUUCCUCUUUUCUCCAACUAGCAGUAUUCUCUUUCAUGUCAUCCACUAGUUGAUCCACACUAUUCUUUAGCCCGAGUAUGAUUUCCUUCAAGUCCAUAAUUUCCCUUUCACUGGACUCCUUCUCUCUUCAAGUUGUUUUUUAGCAAUAGAUCUUGUUCUCCUUAGGAUGUUGAAGAUCUAAUACCAAUUUGUUAAGAUUCUCAACCUAAAACUAAAAAAAAUCCCAACAAUGGCAAAACAAAAACAGUACUUUGUUGUAAUAUAUUGAUUAUGAUAACCAAAAUGCUCAACAAACCAACUACGAUCACAUGAUGAAUAGAAAGUAAAUGCAAAAAAGUAAUAAGAAAUAAUAAACCCAGCUCCUUCGAGAAGGCUGGAAACCGCUCCUAAAAAGCCUACAACAGCUUUCACCAAAAUCAAGACUUAAUCCGUCAAUCCCAAAACAUUCCCUGUUUAUACCCACAUACAAGGUGAGCUGUCCGGUGCUUCUUUCCUCUCCCAUCAGCUCUCCCUUUGAAUUAUUCUAUGAAUUUCCCUUCCUGCCUUUUCUUUUAUAAGUGUGGAGGAUUGGGGGUCCAACAAAGUGAUCGCAAAACUAGCGCAAUACAUAAAAUGCUUAUGAAAGUUUAUAAGUUACUAACAUAUUUAUACACAUCAGUACUUAAAUUAAGCAAAAAGAAAGCGUUUCAUGGUGUAGCUUCUUAUGAUUCAAACACAUUAACUACCUUAAUCAUAGAAUACAAGCAUAGACAUUUCAUCCGCCAGAAACAUCAGAUCACUGUGGCUAAUGUGACCCCUAAACCUAAAUAUAGAUAUCACUAUUUCAAAAUAUAGUUUAUCAUUAUUCUCAAACUUGACUUUUCCUGAUUCAUGAAAAUAAUUAUAAAGCUAAAAUUCAUCCAACAAAAAACAAAUGCAAAUAGAAAAUCAGCUUCCAGAAAAUUAUCAACUCUUUCUUGUCCACGGAAGAAUUCAUUCUGAAAUUAUGGAUAUGGUCUAAAUUCCAAACUAUACAAAUACAUCAUAUUGUCCUUCUCUCUUUCGAUGUAGCUCAUAACAGAUCAAGAAAGUAAAGAAUUAAAUUAUCAGUUAUGCACCUUCGGGGAGCCAACCACAGCUGUGGCGUGAGAUAGAGAGCAUUGAAGUCAUCAAAGCUGAGGACGACACAGAGUGAAAUGGCAUCAUUGACUCCAAACAGAAGCUCAUCUCAGGCGCACACCUUCAAGCAAAAUAGAUUACCUUAUUUUACUGAAACGUUUCACAACUAAAACACUGAAGAGAGAAAUAAAGAUGAAGAUUGAACACUGUUUUCGUUGUUCUACUUUUGGGGAGAACAAGAAAAACUCAAAGAGCUCUAGAUUCAGAAACUUUUCGCACUUAAAACGGACGCAAAAGCAUUAAGCAACGAACCUGAAAGUACGAUGAGAGAGGGGUUUGUUAGUUGCCAUACGAAAGGGAGAGGAUGGUGAGGGCUUGGGUUGAGAACCGAUGUGAGCAGCAGCACGGCGUGCCGAACCGGAGAAUGACCGGAAAGCAGACCGAGCACCAAUUGAGGCCAUUGAUUAUGAGAAGAAAUGAUAGAUUCUGAAGGUUGUUCGUCUUGGCUUCGGAAUAUGAACAAGAGAGAACUAACUCUUGCUUCUUGGCUGGCUGCUGAGUGAGGGCUAGAGCUAAAACCCUGCUUUGGG